ACGACGUUGGCUCAGCGGUAGAGCGGCAGGUUCGUUCCUGCAAACGCCGGUUCGAUUCCGGCACGUCGGC
rnacentral:tRNA from 1 species